UACGUAGGGUGCGAGCGUUACUCGGAAUUACUGGGCGUAAAGCGUGCGCAGGCGGUUCGCUAAGUCUGGUGUGAAAGCCCCGGGCUCAACCUGGGAAUUGCAUUGGAAACUGACGAGCUUGAGUGUGGCAGAGGGGGGUGGAAUUCCACGUGUAGCAGUGAAAUGCGUAGAGAUGUGGAGGAACACCGAUGGCGAAGGCAGCCCCCUGGGCUAACACUGACGCUCAGGCACGAAAGCGUGGGGAGCAAACAGG
rnacentral:rRNA from 1 species